AUGUGCAUUUGCUAAAGGACAUGAAAUGUGAUGAGAAAAAGGAGCCCUGCUGCAUGUGCCGGGAAACACGGAAAGUUCCGGAACGUGAUUACUCCACACCUGCCGGUAACCCUUCUAGAACACUCUGCAGAGUCUAGGGGGCUGCCCGAGGACACGGUCAAGUGGGGAGGCUCUGGAAGGCUGCCCUGAGCCCUCCUGGGGCCCACGGCUCCACAGCCGGGGCAGCUGGAUGACGUCACAGGCAGGGUGACGUGGGCCUGUGGUCACUAGACAAAGGCAGGGUGAGUGGGCCUGCGGUGCCCAGCAGCACGUGAGAGUGAUAUGGAGUGACGUCUGUCAGCAGCCCACGGCUUGGCCCUGCCCCGAGGCAGGGACUGCUGGAAAUGAGCCCUCCAGACCAACUUCCUGUUGCUGCCGUGAUGGAAGAGCAGCUCCUGGGCUCAUCCCCUCAGGCGUUCGGAACUUCCUGUCCCCCUUGCGGGCUCGCUGGGCACUUGGGCCAGGAAGCCUCUGCAUCUGUCCUCUCUGGGAUGACGGAUGUGGGGCCCCAGCAUACUGUCAUGCUCAUUAAAGGCUCACUCACCUGAGAAA